CCACCGAAAUCGCAUUAUUUUUAUGGUUUAUGCGAAUUUUUUGAUUUUUAUGUGUACAGUAUAUCAGAUAUCAGUUAAUUUUUUUAUUAUCUUUUACUUUCGAAAUGUAACGGAGCUAAGGUAAGGGUGGUAAUUUUUCACCGUGUAUUUUCUCCGCUGAUAUCGUCGUUGCUGCCCUUUAAGUAUUAAAUAUUUUAUAGUGAAAUGCUGUUGUGUUACGCUCGGUAUUCAAACCGUGGGUUCGGAUUUCGACGGUGGCGGCGCAGUAGACGUAACUCGUAUUUUCUAACCAUUAUUACAUGUUAUUAUCGUUUAUCAAUACGUUUGAUCGAAAUUACGAACGCAACAAAGUUUCUUAUCAUUGUCGUCAUCGGCAGAAACGCGCACUGCCUAUAUAGUAAUAAUGUGUGUUAUUAUACCGUACGAAAAACACGAACGUAAUCGUAACUGGAAAUUAUACUUUACUAACUGUUCGAAUCUUAAUCCUAAAUUAUUAUAAUAGUCGUAUGGUGUGACUGCCGUACGGAACUAUGCGUAAAAUAUUGUACUGCCGACAUUAAAUAAGAACGGAGAUUUUUUUUUUUAUAUAUAUAUAUAUAUAAUUGUAUAUUUUUUUUCCUACAAAAAAUAUCCACACUCGUUAUACAAUUAAGGGACCGGGAUUUCGCGAGAAAUUGCGUGUUUUUACCGAUAUGUAAAAAUAGUGUGAAAACGGCACAAGUUCACUUUUCGACAUUGUCGGGCAGAAGAAAAAAACCGUACAGAAUUACCUAUAUUAUGCAUUAGAUGUUUUUUUUGCUCAAAAUUCGGUUGAAUUAUUUUUAUCGGUAUCUAGACGGACUCGCAUUAUUUUUGCGCCGAACCGUGUAGAAUUUAUUGCUUUAUUCGAAACUUGUCGUCCAGUAACUUGCAAACGUACAUUUGUUUUGUUGUCAAGAUA